rnacentral:misc_RNA from 1 species
ACCAUCCCAGGCUUGACAUCCACAGCCAACUUUUUGUAGCUCAUGCAAAUCAUAUUUUCAUCACCUUUUAUACUAUAGUCAGUAGAUAUGCUGAUAUCUUGACCCUGUUUAAGCUGGAUGGGCUUGCCAUCCUUCAAGAACCCAGUUCGAAUCUCUGGUCCCUUGGUGUCAAGCAUGACAGCACAGAGAAUACCAGUGUUAACCAUGCCGGCCUUGAGAUUAUCAAGGGUUUCCUGGUGGUACUCAUGAGAUCCAUGAGA